rnacentral:rRNA from 1 species
UACGUAGGGCGCAAGCGUUGUCCGGAAUUAUUGGGCGUAAAGAGCUCGUAGGCGGUUUGUCGCGUCUGCUGUGAAAACCUAAGGCUCAACCUUGGGCUUGCAGUGGGUACGGGCAGACUAGAGUGCGGUAGGGGUGACCGGAAUUCCUGGUGUAGCGGUGGAAUGCGCAGAUAUCAGGAGGAACACCGAUGGCGAAGGCAGGUCACUGGGACGUGACUGACGCUGAGACGCGAAAGCGUGGGGAGCAAACAGG